UACAGAGGGUGCGAGCGUUGUCCGGAAUCACUGGGCGUAAAGGGCGCGUAGGCGGCUCGGUAAGGUUGCGGUGAAAGCCCGGGGCUCAACCCCGGGUCGGCCGUGGCAACUGCUGAGCUAGAGCACUGUAGAGGCAGGUGGAAUUCCGGGUGUAGCGGUGGAAUGCGUAGAGAUCCGGAAGAACACCGGUGGCGAAGGCGGCCUGCUGGGCAGU
rnacentral:rRNA from 1 species